GGGUCAGUAGGUUGGUCGUGCCACCGGUACGUACUGGUCUCACUGAUUCCUCCUUCCUGAAGAACCGUAAUGCCAUUAAUCUGGUGUUGCGGGGAAACAGGACAGUUACUUUGAAAAAAUUAGAGUGUUUAAAGCAAGCUAACGCUUGAAUACAUUAGCAUGGAAUAAUGAAAUAGGACGAUCGAUCCUAUUUUGUUGGUUUCUAGGAUUGACGUA
rnacentral:rRNA from 1 species